rnacentral:rRNA from 1 species
UACGGGGGGGGCAAGCGUUGUUCGGAAUUACUGGGCGUAAAGGGCUCGUAGGCGGCCAACUAAGUCAGACGUGAAAUCCCCAGGCUCAACCUGGGAACUGCGUCUGAUACUGGAUGGCUUGAAUCCGGGAGAGGGAUGCAGAAUUCCAGGUGUAGCGGUGAAAUGCGUAGAGAUCCGGAAGAAUACCGGUGGCGAAGGCGGCCUGCUGGGCAGUGGCUGACACUGAGGCGCGACAGCGUGGGGAGCAAACAGG